rnacentral:rRNA from 1 species
ACGCUGGCGGUAGGCCUAACACAUGCAAGUCGAACGGCAGCACAGUAAGAGCUUGCUCUUAUGGGUGGCGAGUGGCGGACGGGUGAGGAAUACAUCGGUAUCUACCUUUUCGUGGGGGAUAACGUAGGGAAACUUACGCUAAUACCGCAUACGACCUUCGGGUGAAAGCAGGGGACCUUCGGGCCUUGCGCGGAUAGAUGAGCCGAUGUCGGAUUAGCUAGUUGGCGGGGUAAAGGCCCACCAAGGCGACGAUCCGUAGCUGGUCUGAGAGGAUGAUCAGCCACACUGGAACUGAGACACGGUCCAGACUCCUACGGGAGGCAGCAGUGGGGAAUAUUGGACAAUGGGCGCAAGCCUGAUCCAGCCAUACCGCGUGGGUGAAGAAGGCCUUCGGGUUGUAAAGCCCUUUUGUUGGGAAAGAAAAGCAGCUGGCUAAUACCCGGUUGUUCUGACGGUACCCAAAGAAUAAGCACCGGCUAACUUCGUGCCAGCAGCCGCGGUAAUACGAAGGGUGCAAGCGUUACUCGGAAUUACUGGGCGUAAAGCGUGCGUAGGUGGUUGUUUAAGUCUGUUGUGAAAGCCCUGGGCUCAACCUGGGAAUUGCAGUGGAUACUGGGCGACUAGAGUGUGGUAGAGGGUAGUGGAAUUCCCGGUGUAGCAGUGAAAUGCGUAGAGAUCGGGAGGAACAUCCAUGGCGAAGGCAGCUACCUGGACCAACACUGACACUGAGGCACGAAAGCGUGGGGAGCAAAC